rnacentral:rRNA from 1 species
GACGAACGCUGGCGGCGUGCUUAACACAUGCAAGUCGAACGGAGUGGCGAACGGGUGAGUAACACGUUGGUGACCUGCCCUGCACUUCGGGAUAAGCCUGGGAAACUGGGUCUAAUACCGGAUAGUGUGGGAUGGGCCCGCGGCCUAUCAGCUUGUUGGUGGGGUAAUGGCUUACCAAGGCGGCGACGGGUAGCCGGCCUGAGAGGGUGGACGGCCACAUUGGGAAUGAGGCACGGCGCAGACGCCGACGGGAGGCAGCAGUGGGGAAUAUUGCACAAUGGGCGGAAGCGUGAUGCAGGGACGCCGCGUGGGGGAUGACGGCUUUCGGGUGGUAAACACCUUUGACCAGCGACGCGGUAGAUGGAGAAGAAGCACCGGCUAAAUACGUGCCAGCAGCCGCGGUAAUUC